rnacentral:hammerhead_ribozyme from 1 species
AAGCUGACGAGUCCCAAAUAGGACGAAACGCGCAUCCUGGAU